CAGUAGCCGCGGUAAUACGUAGGUGGCAAGCGUUGUCCGGAAUUAUUGGGCGUAAAGGGCUCGCAGGCGGUUUCUUAAGUCUGAUGUGAAAGCCCCCGGCUCAACCGGGGAGGGUCAUUGGAAACUGGGAAACUUGAGUGCAGAAGAGGAGAGUGGAAUUCCACGUGUAGCGGUGAAAUGCGUAGAGAUGUGGAGGAACACCAGUGGCGAAGGCGACUCUCUGGUCUGUAACUGACGCUGAGGAGCGAAAACGUGGGGAGCGAACAGGAUUAGAUACCCGAGUAGUCCCUGUCUCUUAUAC
rnacentral:rRNA from 1 species